CAGUAGCCGCGGGAAUACAGAGGUCUCAAGCGUUGUUCGGAUUCAUUGGGCGUAAAGGGUGCGUAGGCGGUCGGGUAAGUCGGAUGUGAAAUCCUGGGGCUCAACCUCAGAACUGCAUUCGAUACUGCUUGGCUAGAGGACUGGAGAGGAGACUGGAAUUCACGGUGUAGCAGUGAAAUGCGUAGAUAUCGUGAGGAAGACCAGCGGCGAAGGCGGGUCUCUGGACAGUUCCUGACGCUGAUGCACGAAGGCCAGGGGAGCAAACGGGAUUAGAUACCCCUGUAGUCCCUGUCUCUUAUAC
rnacentral:rRNA from 1 species